CUCUCUCUCUUCUCUUGGAGCUGUCACAGAGGAUAAUCGGGACAGCAAAGUGUUCUGUUCUGGCAGCCAAGCGAAGUCUGGUUUUUUAAGGAUAGAGAGAACAACUCUGGAAAAUGCUGCCAACAUCUCAAGGAAGAGAUGUCCAGAAGCUGCGUAGAAUGAGCACAGGGAUUGGGUGCAGAAGCAAAAGCAGAAAUCCAUCUUCUUCCCAGGCAAGAAGAAAUCAGAGACACCAGUAACACAAUGAAACAAAAGAACAAUUUGAAUAAAAGCACGCUGAUUGAAAAUUCAUAUAUGGGAGCAGAACCUGCCAGCCGUUAUAAGUUCUGAAUAAAGAACACAAUUUGAGAAACCUGUUCUUUGGAUUGAGGUGCCGGAGGCUUGGCGCUUGCCCUCAGCUGUUGCUAGUGUGGCCAAGUAGUUCCUGGAACGACUGGAGACUCCAUCUUUUCUCCCAGCCUCCAGAAAUGCGUGUCCUGACCUCCAGGAAGUGAAUAUACUCAAACGGAUUUGGCAAUUGUGGUGAGGAAACUUGAGUUGAGGAGACAAUACUGAAUUAUCCAGUACACAUGGACGGACCCACCCAAGGUUCUGGCCGCAUAUAUGGCAGAAGAUGGCCUUGUUGGACAUCAAGUCUUGCUAUGUACCUCUAACUGGCCUGGAACUCAC